ACUUAAGUAGUUAAUAUAGAAUAACAAUUUGUGGUGUUGUAGGAACUGGGUAAUUAGUCUUAAGUC
rnacentral:tRNA from 1 species